rnacentral:rRNA from 1 species
AUUGAACGCUGGCGGCAUGCUUUACACAUGCAAGUCGAACGGUAACAGGGAGCUUGCUCCGCUGACGAGUGGCGAACGGGUGAGUAAUGCAUCGGAACGUACCCAGUCGUGGGGGAUAACGUAGCGAAAGUUACGCUAAUACCGCAUACGUCCUGAGGGAGAAAGCGGGGGACCGAAAGGCCUCGCGCGAUUGGAGCGGCCGAUGUCGGAUUAGCUAGUUGGUAGGGUAAAGGCCUACCAAGGCGACGAUCCGUAGCGGGUCUGAGAGGAUGAUCCGCCACACUGGGACUGAGACACGGCCCAGACUCCUACGGGAGGCAGCAGUGGGGAAUUUUGGACAAUGGGCGCAAGCCUGAUCCAGCCAUGCCGCGUGAGUGAAGAA